rnacentral:rRNA from 1 species
AACGCUAGCUACAGGCUUAACACAUGCAAGUCGAGGGGUAGCAGGGUAGCAAUACCGCUGACGACCGGCGCACGGGUGAGUAACACGUAUCCAACCUGCCGAUAACUCCGGGAUAGCCUUUCGAAAGAAAGAUUAAUACCGGAUAGUAUACGAAUAUCGCAUGAUAUUUUUAUUAAAGAAUUUCGGUUAUCGAUGGGGAUGCGUUCCAUUAGUUUGUUGGCGGGGUAACGGCCCACCAAGACUACGAUGGAUAGGGGUUCUGAGAGGAAGGUCCCCCACAUUGGAACUGAGACACGGUCCAAACUCCUACGGGAGGCAGCAGUGAGGAAUAUUGGUCAAUGGGCGCAGGCCUGAACCAGCCAAGUAGCGUGAAGGAUGACUGCCCUAUGGGUUGUAAACUUCUUUUAUAAAGGAAUAAAGUCGGGUAUGUAUACCCGUUUGCAUGUACUUUAUGAAUAAGGAUCGGCUAACUCCGUGCCAGCAGCCGCGGUAGUACGGAGGAUCCGAGCGUUAUCCGGAUUUAUUGGGUUUAAAGGGAGCGUAGGUGGAUUGUUAAGUCAGUUGUGAAAGUUUGCGGCUCAACCGUAAAAUUGCAGUUGAAACUGGCAGUCUUGAGUACAGUAGAGGUGGGCGGAAUUCGUGGUGUAGCGGUGAAAUGCUUAGAUAUCACGAAGAACUCCGAUUG